AGAGUUUGAUCCUGGCUCAGAACGAACGCUGGCGGCAGGCUUAACACAUGCAAGUCGAACGCUCGUAGCAAUACGGGAGUGGCAGACGGGUGAGUAACGCGUGGGAACAUACCCUCCGGUUCGGAAUAGCUCAGGGAAACUUGGAUUAAUACCGGAUACGGCUGAGAGGCGAAAGAUUUAUCGCCGGAGGAUUGGCCCGCGUUCGAUUAGCUUGUUGGUGAGGUAACGGCUCACCAAGGCGAUGAUCGAUAGCUGGUCUGAGAGGAUGAUCAGCCACAUUGGGACUGAGACACGGCCCAAACUCCUACGGGAGGCAGCAGUGGGGAAUAUUGGACAAUGGGCGCAAGCCUGAUCCAGCCAUGCCGCGUGAGUGAUGACGGCCUUAGGGUUGUAAGGCUCUUUCGCUCGGGACGA
rnacentral:rRNA from 1 species